UACGAAGGGGGCGAGCGUUGUUCGGAUUUACUGGGCGUAAAGCGUGCGUAGACGGUUGCGUAAGUCAGAUGUGAAAGCCCCGGGCUCAACCUGGGAAUUGCAUUUGAGACUGCGUAGCUAGGGUGCGGAAGAGGGAAGCGGAAUUUCCGGUGUAGCGGUGAAAUGCGUAGAUAUCGGAAGGAACACCAGUGGCGAAAGCGGCUUCCUGGUCCAGCACCGACGUUCAGGCACGAAAGCGUGGGGAGCAAACAGG
rnacentral:rRNA from 1 species